rnacentral:rRNA from 1 species
UGAGCAAUCUGCCCUUCUCUUUGGAAUAAGCGUUGGAAACGACGUCUAAUGCCGAAUACGACCUCCUUUCGCAUGAUCGGAGGUGGAAAGCUCCGGCGGAGAAGGAUGAGCUCGCGGCCUAUCAGCUAGUUGGUGUGGGUAAUGGCCCACCAAGGCGACGACGGGUAGCCGGCCUGAGGAGGGUCGACCGGCCACACGUGGGACUGAGACAAGGCCCAGACCUCCGUACGGGGA